UGAACCAUCCAGACUCAUCUAUCUACCAACCGAUCAAGACGUCGGAGAAAUUAGGUAAACUUUAAACAAGUCAAUAUAAAGAAAUACGUUCCUCUCUUCAAUUAAAAGCUAACCGAAGAAGGCAAGAACCAAGGAAGUACAGCACUGCUUGUUAAGCGACGGAGUAAGCAAAGCGGAAAGCAGGAAUAUUCCACUCCUACAGACUGAUUAAGACAAGAACCAAGGAAGUUCUGCACUGCUUGGUAAGCGACGGAGUAAGCAAAGCGGAAAGUAAGAACCUACUACUCCUGCAGACUGAUUAAUGUUCACUGAAGAAAACAAGUAAAGUAGUUAAAUCAGGAAAAGAGAAAUCGGAAGUCAUUUGCAACAUCUUAUCCAAUGUAUCCAUGUUGACAACUUCAAUAGUCCAUUGAAUAAACAUGGACAAAGAAGAAAGGAACUACUGUUGCCUGGCCUUACUUCUGUUAAGAGUAGGGAAUCCAUGUCUGCGUCUUUACUUCAAAAAUCAGUGGAAUGCUGCAGUAAAAUACAAACCUUGGAGUGACUGUGCUCAGAAUGGAGCUGACUUGCUGCGGAUGUUUAAGCCUCUUUCAUAUGAAAAGGAUGCAGUGAAAUCUGGUGAUACAUCACGAUGGGACAUGUCUCUUUUAGUCAAAGCUCUACUUCAUUCACGGCCACCAUUUGUUGUAGCAGCUAAUCUGGUAGCAGCCCUUAAAACGUUAAAAGAAAUGCGAGACAAGUUGUGUCACUCUCCAGUUUCAAGGGUUGAAGCUACUGAUUUCCAAACAUCAUGGAGGGAUGGAUGUAAUGCACUGAGCUUGUUCGGCGCUACUGCUGGGGACUUUGAU